rnacentral:piRNA from 1 species
UGGUACUUUUUACUUUUGAAUAAGAACCGUC